GUGCUGCAUCACGGAACAAACGCUAAGGUUGCAGAUAUUUGUGAAGAAGAAGUGAUAUGGUUGGCUGUGUCCUCACCCAAGUCUCAUCUUGAAUUACAGCUCCCAUAAUCUCCAUGUGUUGUGGGAAGGACCUGGGGGGAGGUAAUUGAAUCAUGGGGGCGGGUUUUCUCGUGCUGUUCUCAUGACAGUAAAUAGGUCUCAAGAGAUCUGAUGGUUUUAUAAAGGGCAGUUCCCCUGCACAUAUUCUCUUGCCUGCCACCAUGUAAGAUGUACACUUG
rnacentral:lncRNA from 1 species